UCUCUUGUUAAAUUUUUCCCAGCUACUUUCUUGUAGAUGCUAGAGGCAUCAAAAAUUAACCAAUCAGGGUUCAGGUCGAGUUUGUGGUUUGUAAUAAUGAAUCCAAGUUAGCUGAGAAAAAAACUUUAUAGCUACUGUCAGUGUGAUAAGUUUUAUUAAUUGAAAGCAGUGGAGUUCGUUCAUUUGGUUUGGCCUUAAAUUGCAAAAAUGGCCGGAAAUUACAACUUUAGUGAUUUAGCUUACAUGCACUUUAUCUAUGGUCAAGUUGAAUGCAACAGCAGAGCUGCAGUGAGGUUAUAUCAAGAAAGAUUCCCUAAUCGCCGCGUUCCCCAUCGUAGUGUAGUUUCCAAUGUUAACCGUCGGCUUCGCGAAUUUGGAAAUUUGAGGCCAAUCAAUGUGGACAGAGUUGCACUCAUAUCAUAUUAAUCGCGAGAAGGCGGGAGUUUUGUGAAUAGCUGUUGCAAAGGAAUAAUGAAGAUUCACAAUUCACAUUUAACCUUUGUUUUUCAGACGAAGCAAACUUUUCAAGGAAUGGGAUGUUAAAUCUAAGAAUCCCGGAAAGUUUUACGAAAAUAUGACAUUGAAACGUGUCCAUUCAAUCCAAACCAUUUAGUGGUUUUGAUGUACGAGGGAAAACCAUAUAUGUAAGUGUCAUAGAAAUGAAAAAAAAAAGAAGAGGAGAAAAAAAAUGAGACGGAAGAG